UUAGCACUUUCACAAGUCCUUCCCCAGGCAGUGGGGCCAGGAUUUAGUAGCUGGUACUGAAAGAAAAACUCUUGGGUGCAUUCUUGCCCUGGGACUGUGCCAGUGGCAGCAGUCACUCAGUGGCACAGAG